rnacentral:rRNA from 1 species
AUUGAACGCUGGCGGCAGGCCUAACACAUGCAAGUCGAACGAGUGGCGGACGGGUGAGUAAUGUCUGUGAAACUGCCCGAUGGAGGGGGAUAACUACUGGAAACGGUAGCUAAUACCGCAUACCAUCGGAUGUGCCCAGAUGGGAUUAGCUUGUAGGUGAGGUAACGGCUCACCUAGGCGACGAUCCCUAGCUGGUCUGAGAGGAUGAACAGCCAGACUGGAACUGUACCACAGUCCAGACUCCUACGGGGUGCAGCAGUGGGGAAUAUUGCACAAUUGGCGCAAGCCUGAUGCAGCCAUGCCUCGUGUAUGAAGAAGGCCUUCGGGUUUUAAAGUACUUUCAGCGGUGAGGCGUUACCCGCAGAGGAAGCACCGGCUAACUCCGUGCCAGCAGCCGCGGUAAUAC